UCCGAGUUGUCCCCGGCAGUCCUUUUAGAGUCCCCGGCAUUACCCGCUGGCAACUAAAAGCAGGGGUUGCGCUCGUUGCAGCACUUAAGCCAACACCUCACGGCACGAGCUGACGACAGCCAUGCAGCACCUGUGCUAGCCCCUUGCGGACACGGGCUUUCACCCGCUUUAACUAGCAUGUCAAGCCUAGGUAAGGUGGGGAUGACGUAUGCGUAACAGA
rnacentral:misc_RNA from 1 species